CUACGAAGGGGGCUAGCGUUGUUCGGAAUUACUGGGCGUAAAGCGCGCGUAGGCGGAUUGGUCAGUUAGGGGUGAAAUCCCAGGGCUUAACCCUGGAACUGCCUCUAAUACUGCCAGUCUUGAGUUCGGGAGAGGUGAGUGGAAUUCCUAGUGUAGAGGUGAAAUUCGUAGAUAUUAGGAAGAACACCAGUGGCGAAGGCGGCUCACUGGCCCGAUACUGACGCUGAGGCGCGAAAGCGUGGGGAGCAAACAGGAUUAGAAACCCCUGUAGUCC
rnacentral:rRNA from 1 species